rnacentral:rRNA from 1 species
AUUGAACGCUGGCGGCAUGCCUUACACAUGCAAGUCGAACGGUAACGGGUCUUCGGAUGCUGACGAGUGGCGAACGGGUGAGUAAUACAUCGGAACGUGCCUAGUAGUGGGGGAUAACUACUCGAAAGAGUGGCUAAUACCGCAUGAGAUCUACGGAUGAAAGCAGGGGAUCGCAAGACCUUGUGCUACUAGAGCGGCCGAUGGCAGAUUAGGUAGUUGGUGGGAUAAAAGCUUACCAAGCCGACGAUCUGUAGCUGGUCUGAGAGGACGAUCAGCCAAACUGGGAAUGAGACACGGCCCAGACUCCUACGGGAGGCAGCAGUGGGGAAUUUUGGACAAUGGGCGCAAGCCUGAUUCAGCAAUGCCGCGUGCAGGAUGAAGGCCUUCGGGUUGUAAACUGCUUUUGUACGGAACGAAAAGCCCCGGGUUAAUACCCUGGGGUCAUGACGGUACCGUAAGAAUAAGCACCGGCUAACUACGUGCCAGCCGCCGCGGUAA